ACCGAAAUUACUCUUGACCAUUCUCCUCCCACAUCCCUCCUCCGUUCAUCCCCCUAAACAAAGAGAAAAAAGACAGACUCUGGAUAAUUGCAUAUCGAUAUCUUCCCUCUCUCGGACUUCUCAGAUCUUCACCAUCAGCCACCAUCGCCGGCAUAUUUUGCAUCACCACCACAACAGGCGGCUAUUAUAUCUGUCGGCAACUUUAUCGCCGGAACCACUCGCCGGCAACCACGAUCUCACCAUAAAACCCUCGCAAUCAACCAAUUAAUUUCAAUCGAUUUUUUUUCUUUCAUUGUUUGAAUCGUGAUUAUUAGGGUUUGUAUUUUGAUUUUUAAAUAAAUUUAAAUAAAAUGGCAGAAACAUAUGCUACCUGUAUCUUCGGAACUAAACCCACCGCCAUCACACACACCAUCUGUGCCACAUUCAUUCUAUUGUUUUUUAUUUCCAUUUCAAAUCUGUUAACUGCACACGUUCCUUUCAAUGAAUUUUCUAUUUUUUACAUUCUCAAUUUCUCAUACGAAAUCUGUCUUUGCCCUUUCAAAUAGAAAAUAGAAAAUAAAAUGUGGCUGAUUUAUAGGGUUGUGGAAGAAGCUAACCAUAGUAUAAAACUCAGGUCUCUUCAUCGAGGCUUUUAUUUGUGUCGGGUUUUGAAAUUUGUUUCUUUCUUUGUUAAUGUACAUGAUUUUAGUUUGUGUAUGAUUGAUUAGUUAGUAACUUUGGUUUGGUAUGUUCGAUAAAGGAGUUUGGGUUUUUUAGAUUAGUGAGGCUGUUGUUAGAACUUUUAUGUUACUUGGCAUUUUUGGAACAGAGUAAGAUUUAAGAGAUUCUUUUGUUCCCUAUUAUUAUUGAGGCUAUUGUAUAUAUAUAUUUAAUUUAAUAACUGGUAAUUAUAUUCCAAAUGCAGAUAAGACUUAUGUUUCUACAAUGGGAGUAUAGUUGAACACCUUGAUGGUCAUACACACAUUGUAUACAUUCAGCUAUGUCGGAAUGUGUCAAAGAGAUUUACUUUUAUGACAAAUCUGCAGAAGAGAGGGUGAUGGGGCUAUGUGAGCUUGAAAAAAACUUUCGCCUUUCUCUCUUUGUUGUAUGUACAUUUCAAGGAUGAUGAUUUGUUAUUAUUGAAGCUCUUUUCCUACAACAACUGAAUCUCUUGGUCGAGACAAUGAAGUGCUAAAACAUGGGUCGAUGAUGCUCGCCAAAUAGCCGAGUGGUGUCCAUUUCAUAUGUGCUCAUCUGACUCUUUAUCGUGUUGUAUUCAUUCUAUGUACCUCAUUUCAGUCAUGCUACAUGUUUUUUACAGAACAUAAGCUGCUGGUUCGAAAUUGGUUGGGUCGAUUCGGGGACAAACACACCAUGCUUGAUAAAUUUUGGUUUCAACAUCCUACUAAAGAAAGUCAAUGAUAUUGUUGACACUUGACAGCAACAAAAGCGGGAGGCUUCCUAAGAACUCCAAGGUAAUAUAAUGGCCUACCUACGAGUAAAUUUAAUGCAUUUAAAGGUUAGUUCAUCUUAUGAUAUACAUCAGUUGCAUGUAAAUUUGAUAGAAAUGAAUGUGAUUUUGAAGAUUAACUAUCAUAUUUACAUUGAACGAAAAGUAAUGAAUGGCAUGGAAGAGAAGUUUCAAGUGAAAGAAGAACUAUGAUAUGUGAAUGCUGGUAAUGUAUUUAUAGAUGUUAGGCCAUCUUGGUUUCCAUCAUCAUAUGUAGCGUAUUUAUUAUGAUUUUGUUUCCAUUUGUACAGAGGUCCUAUGGUUCUUAAGAUAUAAAUGAUGGGCCAUUUGCCUAUAUUCAUUUUGUUGAUAA